UCCCAGUUUGAACUUCAAUAUUGACCCAAUGUUGAUUUUAAGUCCAAUAUUCACCAACUUAAAUUUUUUUUAUCAAUUUAAUAGUAAAAAAUUUAAAUUAUAAAUUUAUUUUUAAAUCUGUAUAAAAUAAAACAGAAAAAAAGAGAGUUUACUUAUCUGAAAGUAACUACAUUUGAAAGCUUUCACUUUAGAAUUAUCUCAAAUCGAUGUGUUUUCAUCAACAAUUCAAUAUUAAUAUUUUUAUGAAUUCAAAUAAGUGAUGGAGUAUUUUUUAGAAUGAAGUAUG
rnacentral:lncRNA from 1 species